CGGGCAGACUAGAGUGUGGUAGGGGAGACUGGAUUUCCUGGUGUAGCGGUGAAAUGCGCAGAUAUCAGGAGGAACACCGAUGGCGAAGGCAGGUCUCUGGGCCACUACUGACGCUGAGAAGCGAAAGCAUGGGGAGCGAACAGGAUUAGAUACCCUGGUAGUCCAUGCCGUAAACGUUGGGAACUAGGUGUGGGUCUCAUUCCACGAGAUCCGUGCCGCAGCUAACGCAUUAAGUUCCCCGCCUGGGGAGUACGGCCGCAAGGCUAAAACUCAAAGGAAUUGACGGGGGCCCGCACAAGCGGCGGAGCAUGUGGAUUAAUUCGAUGCAACGCGAAGAACCUUACCAAGGCUUGACAUAUACCGGAAACAUCCAGAGAUGGGUGCCCCGCAAGGUCGGUAUACAGGUGGUGCAUGGUUGUCGUCAGCUCGUGUCGUGAGAUGUUGGGUUAAGUCCCGCAACGAGCGCAACCCUCGUUCUAUGUUGCCAGCACGUGAUGGUGGGGACUCAUAGGAGACUGCCGGGGUCAACUCGGAGGAAGGUGGGGAUGAGGUCAAAUCAUCAUGCCCCUUAUGUCUUGGGCUUCACACAUGCUACAAUGGCCGGUACAAAGGGCUGCGAAACCGCAAGGUGGAGCGAAUCCCAAAAAACCGGUCUCAGUUCGGAUUGGGGUCUGCAACUCGACCCCAUGAAGUUGGAGUCGCUAGUAAUCGCAGAUCAGCAACGCUGCGGUGAAUACGUUCCCGGGCCUUGUACACACCGCCCGUCAAGUCACGAAAGUCGGUAACACCCGAAGCCGGUGGCCCAACCCUUGUGGAGGGAGCCGUCGAAGGUGGGACUGGCGAUUGGGACUAAGUCGUAACAAGGUACCAAUCCCGCGG
rnacentral:rRNA from 1 species